AUGAGCUCCGAUGGGGUCCCCGCCCAUGGCCGUCGGGAUUGCAUCAUGGCCGCCAGUGGGCCCCCCAGCGCGCGGUCAACGGCGGAUUGCAGCUCGAAUCCCCCUGCUGGUUCCAGCUCGCGGUUCGCCAUGGAUGCAGCAUGCCCCCGACGUCAUCGCCGCUGGCUCGCCGUGGCCGUUGGCUUGCAACGUUGUGUCCAAGAAGAAAAUUCUGAAAAACAAACAAAAUCCUCGAGUGGUCGGUUGAAGCAAAAUAUUAUUAGGUUCCAGCAAAACAAAGCUCCAGUUCCAGCAAAAAUAAUUUCGGUAGGAAAAAAAGCUCCAGUGGUUGUAGCAAAAAAAUACCAGCUUCCAGCAAAAACAUAA
rnacentral:rRNA from 1 species